UAUCGAGCAGCUGAUCCGCUGACAUCACCCAGCGCCGGUGCGCUCCCUCCCUCGCUGAUUGACAGUUCCCUGUCCCUUCCCAGAAGUAAGGCUCCUUAAAACGAAAGGCGCUCCCGGCCCGCGCUGACUCUGCGCGCCAGCCAACCAGCCCCCGGCCCAUCAGGCUUUAUCUUUUGCUUCUUCGCCGCUCGGUGCGCUCCGAGCGCGCCACGCGGUUCUGGGCGCCGCGGGCUUCCCGCGGGCACUUGGGACAAAGGGGUACCCGUCCUCCGGGGUCUUAGGACUCCCGACCUCCAACUGUGCCAGGGGCGACUUGGAAGCCCGCCGUGCAGUGCCCGCCGGCCCCGCUCGGGACAGCCUCCAAAGAGCAAAGGGAAUGUAAGGAAGCGUCUCCGACGCCCCGGCGCCUCAACUUCCUCUUGCCCUCGCCUCCACUUCACCCCGUUUGCCACCCGGAGCUGCACGAGUGCGGCACGCACCGGAGCGCAGGUGUCCCCGCGUCGCCGCAUCACAUCCGCGAGCAGGCAGGAAACAAGCCGCGCGGAAGGCCCGGCAGGUUCCUCCUCGCGGUGGUGGUAAUGGAAAAGGAGCCACCGAGUGGAGCUAACGAGGAAGGACCCUCCGUCUGGCGCGCCUCCUCGCGCCUCCCGCCCUGUGCAGUCCUCAAAGCUACACGGACAAGGUGUUCCCACAGUGGAAGGUGAAGGAGCCGCUUCAGGUUGCAUCAUUUUCAAACGUGCACCACAGAAACAGGAUUUUAUUUCUGAUUAAAACAAAAUGUGCCGUCAUGUACUGAGCUUGAUCA